CCGACGCAUAGUCGGCCGAUUCACUCAACUUAUCAUAACCGUCCCAAAUGGUUAUCCCUCAAAUAUCGCAGCGUAAUCGGUGGGAAUUAAUAACCCACUACGAGAUUACAGCCCAAUGACUCUACGCCACGAAAUGUGGGACCAUAUCCGACGGUUAUAACUAUCUUCUCUAUAAAAUGGGGGUAAGCUAACUCUGGGCCAAAACUCUGCUACUGCUUACAUUCAACUCCUAUGCACCAACUUUCUUCUUUGACUUAGACAUCGGAAGGUCUCCGUCGGACACAAAUUCGAUCUGCGUGGAUGCUGUUUUGCAGGUGUUCGUUUUCGACGACAGGCGACGGAGAGUUGGUCGUAACAGAUUAGCGCGCUAGGUAGGAAAAAAAAUAACUCACAAUGAUGAAAAUUAUAGCUCAACGAUCAACAGCAACCAGAUCGGCGUGGCACUCUUCCCACUGGAAAGAGGCUCCUCCCCUGCCUCCGAUAGCAAAGCCC
rnacentral:lncRNA from 1 species